rnacentral:lncRNA from 1 species
UUUAUAUUAUUCGUAUUUUUCUUUAUCUUUAAAUUAAUUUUCGGUUGUUUAAAUGUGAACUUUUAGUAAUAAUGUCGUUUGGAUUUUUGAGAUCCCAAUUGUUAUUAUUAAAAUGCGAUUAUAUAAAACGAAAAGGAAAAUCAAACAAUUCUUGAAAGCACAGAAAAAACUGACUAAGGGCCGAGCCUCAUUAAAAUCUCAUUAAGGAAAACUCAGUGGAAAAAACCUUAAGGAGGAAAAAGAGUGUUCGUCUAUCACAAAGAGAAAAGUCAGAAGGAACAGAUAGAAUGUGGAAAAACUUCAGGAGCUCCGGCCUAAUCACCGCCCCUAAAUAAUCCCGGCCAUUCCACUGCUCGAAAAUCCACAAAGAACUCAAAACAAAAAAACCAUAAAAGCAAACCAUAAAUAGGUAAAAGCCGCCAAGCUUCCAGCACCUCAAUGACCAAUCUGCCAGAAGCAAAAUAAAAGGCUCGAUGCCAAUGGAAAAGAAACUCCAUCGCCGAGCACCCAGCAGAGCCCGACCACUCAAACCCCAACUGUGAGCGCACCCAACAGUUGUAAAAAA